CCGGCGCACGGGUGAGUAACACGUAUCCAACCUGCCGUCUACUCUUGGACAGCCUUCUGAAAGGAAGAUUAAUACAAGAUGGCAUCAUGAGUCCGCAUGUUCACAUGAUUAAAGGUGUUCCGGUAGACGAUGGGGAUGCGUUCCAUUAGAUAGUAGGCGGGGUAACGGCCCACCUAGUCUUCGAUGGAUAGGGGUUCUGAGAGGAAGGUCCCCCACAUUGGAACGGAGACACGGUCCAA
rnacentral:rRNA from 1 species